rnacentral:rRNA from 1 species
CUACGUGCCAGCAGCCGCGGUAAUACGGAAGGUCCGGGCGUUAUCCGGAUUUAUUGGGUUUAAAGGGAGCGUAGGCUGGAGAUUAAGUGUGUUGUGAAAUGUAGACGCUCAACGUCUGAAUUGCAGCGCAUACUGGUUUCCUUGAGUACGCACAACGUUGGCGGAAUUCGUCGUGUAGCGGUGAAAUGCUUAGAUAUGACGAAGAACUCCGAUUGCGAAGGCAGCUGACGGGAGCGCAACUGACGCUUAAGCUCGAAGGUGCGGGUAUCAAACAGGAUUAGAUACCCUGGUAGUCCGCACAGUAAACGAUGGAUGCCCGCUGUUGGUACCUGGUAUCAGCGGCUAAGCGAAAGCAUUAAGCAUCCCACCUGGGGAGUACGCCGGCAACGGUGAAACUCAAAGGAAUUGACGGGGGCCCGCACAAGCGGAGGAACAUGUGGUUUAAUUCGAUGAUACGCGAGGAACCUUACCCGGGCU